rnacentral:rRNA from 1 species
AGGACGAACGCUGGCGGCGUGCUUAACACAUGCAAGUCGAGCGGAAAGACCCUUCGGGGUACUCGAGCGGCGAACGGGUGAGUAACACGUGAGUAACCUGCCCUAGGCUUUGGGAUAACCCUCGGAAACGGGGGCUAAUACCGGAUAUUCACUUCCUGCCGCAUGGUGGGUGGUGGAAAGUUUUUUCGGUCUGGGAUGGGCUCGCGGCCUAUCAGCUUGUUGGUGGGGUGAUGGCCUACCAAGGCGACGACGGGUAG